rnacentral:rRNA from 1 species
GACAAGGUGCUGCAGUUAAAGCUCGUAGUUGGAUUUCGGGUGGGGUGGUGCGGUCCGCCUCUGGUGUGCACUGCUCUGCUCCACCUUCCUGCCGGGGACGGGCUCCUGGGCUUCACUGUCUGGGACUCGGAGUCGGCGAGGUUACUUUGAGUAAAUUAGAGUGUUCAAAGCAGGCCUACGCUCUGAAUACAUUAGCAUGGAAUAACACGAUAGGACUCUGGCCUAUCUGUUGGUCUGUGGGACCGGAGUAAUGAUUAAGAGGGGUAGUCGGGGGCAUUCGUAUUCCGUUGUCAGAGGUGAAAUUCUUGGAUUUACGGAAGACGAACAUCUGCGAAAGCAUUUGCCAAGGAUACUUUCAUUGAUCAAGAACGAAAGUUGGGGGCUCGAAGAAA